CGAGACACGAUUUCUCUGUGUAGCCCAGGCUAUCCUAGAGCUUGCUGUAUACACCAGGCUGGGCUCAAACCGAGAUUAAAGGCAUCUCACUUUCCUAAGAGAGGAAUUACUCCCCCACCUCCACCUUGUCCUCAUUCACACCCUUGAUUUGUGUGGCAGGACUGAUGGCCAAGGGGAGCUUGUCCCCAGAAGAAACACAGACUCCCGUUUGGGUGAGAUCACCCGGAAAGAGAUCCCCUCCCAAGCUGUCCCUCGACGCCUUGCUUCAGCCCCUAAGACUGAAAAGCCUGCUCGGAAGAAAAGUGGGCAUCCUGGCCCCAGCAUGAGGAGUCGGGGUGGCAUCUGGAGAUGAGGCCUACCCUUCGUCCUCUUUCGCAUUCAUUUUGAUUAGCGCCCUGCACUCUGCCUGCCUGCAGUCUGUCUGCAGCAGUGGAGUCUGGAAAGUAGAGGUUUUGUAGGAAGUGCUGGUUCGGUGUUUUAGAAUAUGUUUGUUUCCUAGGAGAAAGCACAGGAGCCUCUGAGGCUGCCAUGUGAGGAUAUCUGAGUGGCCUAAGGCUCAGUGUAAGCUUACAGUGCUUAGCUGCUCCAUAGUAGAUUAUGAGUGAUUCUUUUCUUCUUGUAUAGUUUGUAUUUUGUAUAUUUUCUGAAAUAAAUAUGUAUUACUUUAGAGAUCAAAAACGCCUAAACCUUUAAUAAAAGAAAAUUAUUGUAUAAAUGUU
rnacentral:lncRNA from 1 species